rnacentral:rRNA from 1 species
GAUGAACGCUGGCGGCGUGCCUAAUACAUGCGAGUCGAGCGAACGGACGAGAAGCUUGCUUCUCUGAUGUUAGCGGCGGACGGGUGAGUAACACGUGGAUAACCUACCUAUAAGACUGGGAUAACUUCGGGAAACCGGAGCUAAUACCGGAUAAUAUUUUGAACCGCAUGGUUCAAAAGUGAAAGACGGUCUUGCUGUCACUUAUAGAUGGAUCCGCGCUGCAUUAGCUAGUGGGUAAGGUAACGGCUUACCAAGGCAACGAUGCAUAGCCGACCUGAGAGGGUGAUCGGCCACACUGGAACUGAGACACGGUCCAGACUCCUACGGGAGGCAGCAGUAGGGAAUCUUCCGCAAUGGGCGAAAGCCUGACGGAGCAACGCCGCGUGAGUGAUGAAGGCCUUCGGAUCGUAAAACUCUGUUAUUAGGGAAGAACAUAUGUGUAAGUAACUGUGCACAUCUUGACGUUACCUACUCAGAAAGCCACGGCUAACUACGUG